CUCUUCCUUUAAGCAAGUCUUAAUUAAUAAAGUACAUGCAUUUUCCUAUUAGGUACCACAAAGUUAUUUUUAGAAAGUUCAAUAUUUCAAUUAAAUUUCAAAACUUUAAAACCUUUUUUACAGAUCCGGUCAAUUUUAGGAGACAAGGCCAUGGAUUUUCUUUGAGGGAUAGGUGACAAACUCAGAUGAAGCAAGGGAUAAUGUUAUUUCUUAACGACUGGGGAAAAAAUAAAGGUGUUUUACAGCAGAAACAUAGAAUAAGUGAAGUCUUCAUUUGUUAAAUAUUCCCAUGAUCCCGCCAUUUGAAGUUACUUUUCAGAAAGUUGAAGAUAGUGCAAACCUUACUUAACUGUCUUUUUAUCCUUUUCCUAUCUUUAUAGAUCAGUGUUUGCUUCUCUUCAUCACCAAGGCAUCUUCUCUGUCUCUUUAGGUCCUCCUCUGCCUUAUAUCUUGAUGAAAGACUAGUUGUUCAUUCCAAUUUCAAGAAUUGAUCUUUCAGGGGGAAUAAUGGCCAUGGGAAGUAUUUUUGCAGCUGUGCCAGCUAUUGCUGCUGCUGCUGGAUUUUAUUUCAUAGGCAGAAACAACGUCAAGGAAAUCAAACAAGGGUCAUCAGUAUCCAGUCAAAAGAUGCUAGCAGAAGUGAAAGAACGAGCAAAGAGCCUUCAAAUGCCAAAAUUGGCACCACAGUUUGAUGGUUUAGAUUGUUUCGAAACCUUGGUGAUGAAUUGAGUUUGCUUGGGAUGGAACUGUUUGUGCCUUGUGCAGAAUGAAUGUUAGAUACGGGGAAAAAUUAUUUUGA